CAUAAACUAGCUUGCUAGUUUGAUGACGAGUGGCGGACGGGUGAGUAAUGCUUGGGAAUUUGCCUUUAGGUGGGGGACAACAGUUGGAAACGACUGCUAAUACCGCAUGAUAGCUACGGCUCAAAGGGGGCUUCGGCUCUCGCCUUUAGAGAAGCCCAAGUGGGAUUAGGUAGUUGGUGAGGUAAAGGCUCACCAAGCCGACGAUCCCUAGCUGGUCUGAGAGGAUGAUCAGCCACACUGGAACUGAGACACGGUCCAGACUCCUACGGGAGGCAGCAGUGGGGAAUAUUGCACAAUGGGCGCAAGCCUGAUGCAGCCAUGCCGCGUGUGUGAAGAAGGCCUUCGGGUUGUAAAGCACUUUCAGCGAGGAGGAAGGUUAAGUAGUUAAUACCUGCUUGAUUUGACGUUACUCGCAGAAGAAGCACCGGCUAACUCCGUGCCAGCAGCCGCGGUAAUACGGAGGGUGCGAGCGUUAAUCGGAAUUACUGGGCGUAAAGCGUACGCAGGCGGCUAAGUAAGUCAGAUGUGAAAGCCCCGGGCUCAACCUGGGAACUGCAUUUGAAACUGCUUAGCUAGAGUGCGACAGAGGGUGGUAGAAUUUCAGGUGUAGCGGUGAAAUGCGUAGAGAUCUGAAGGAAUACCAAUGGCGAAGGCAGCCACCUGGGUCGACACUGACGCUCAUGUACGAAAGCGUGGGUAGCAAACAGGAUUAGAUACCCUGGUAGUCCACGCCGUAAACGAUGUCUACUAGCAGUUUGACUCUUAAGAGUUGUCUUGCGCAGCUAACGCAUUAAGUAGACCGCCUGGGGGAGUACGGCCGCAAGGUUAAAACUC
rnacentral:rRNA from 1 species